rnacentral:tRNA from 1 species
UCCCUGGCAGUCCAAUAGUUAGGACUCUGUGUUUCCACUACAGAGGGCAUGGGUUUGAUCCCCGGUCAGGGAA